AGAUCGAAACCAAAGAGCAACUUUACCGUUCCUGCCUAGAAGCCUGGGGGAAAAGUCUGAGGAUCUCUGUAUUGAGGGGUUCCACUUGCUCGAGGGUCUUCACCUUCAUCUCCAGCAGGAUCCAGCCCAGUGGACGGCUCAUCCAGAAGCAAUAUAGAUGGGUUCCCCAGGAUGCUCAGCACGAAGCACAACUGUAACAAGAGGGACAGCCCAUGAUGCACUACCUCAAGUGUGCCUCCCUGAGGUGUGCUCGAAGCUCUACCUCCUGAGCCCUGCAUAUACCUUUCUCUUCACUCCCUCUGACAGCGUCUUCACAGGAGACUUCAGCUGGUCCUGCAGCUUGAGCGCAUCUGCCAACCUAAAGAGAAACAGCAGAACAUCAUCACCAUCUUCUACUCAGUGAAGAUAGAUAAUGGGAAGCUGGGGCAAUGAGCCUGGGCGAGAUAGGGGAGUGGGGCCAAUAGAUGGAAUUCUGAAGCUUGUGUGUGUGUGUGUGUGUGUGUGUGUGUGUGUGUGUGUGUGUGUGUGUGUGUUAGUGGGGAAAA
ensembl:antisense Gm11697 predicted gene 11697